CUACUGGUGUGCUGGGAUUAAAGCACACCUGGCUUCAAGCUCCUUAUUGGCCUUUGCCUUUCCCAUAAGGCACUUUGCUGGUGGUGUGCUGGGAUAUUCCAGCAAACAGAACUAUGGGAUCCCUGAACUAUGGCCUGGGUAUUCAUUGACCAGUGAGCAGCUUCCUUGUGGGAACCAUGUAUCUCUCCACUUUGUUCCUAUAUUUGUAAAGUGUCUGGGAUGAAAGCAGGACGUACCUCCAAGGGUCCUUGAGGGCUGACUAUUGUACAUCAUCCUUAUCAAGGCAUUUUCUCUUUGUAACUGAUAGAAAACCACAGCCAAUCCAAAUGUGGAGUUGUGAAGAACUGUCCCAAAUGGAUACAUCUACAAAGCACUCUCAUAGUCUCAAAUGGAGAAAGAGUUCACAGGGAAGGAGUAAAAAGGGUGAAAAUCCAAGAAAAUUUGGUCGUCCACCACAGCAACAGG